UGGGGAAUAUUGGACAAUGGGGGCAACCCUGAUCCAGCAAUGCCGCGUGAGUGAUGAAGGCCUUAGGGUUGUAAAGCUCUUUCGGCGGGGACGAUGAUGACGGUACCCGCAGAAGAAGCCCCGGCUAACUUCGUGCCAGCAGCCGCGGUAAUACGAAGGGGGCUAGCGUUGUUCGGAAUUACUGGGCGUAAAGGGCGCGCAGGCGGUCCUUCAAGUCAGAUGUGAAAGCCCCGGGCUCAACCUGGGAACUGCAUUUGAGACUGAGGGACUUGAGGACGGGAGAGGAGAGUGGAAUUCCCAGUGUAGAGGUGAAAUUCGUAGAUAUUGGGAAGAACACCAAUGGCGAAGGCAGCUCUCUGGACCGUACCUGACGCUGAGGCGCGAAAGCGUGGGGAGCAAACAG
rnacentral:rRNA from 1 species